rnacentral:sRNA from 1 species
GCCGGGCGUUGUGGCGGGCGCCUGUGGUCCCAGCUACUUGGGAGGCGGAGGCAGGAGACUCGCUUGAGCCCAGGAGUUGGAGGUUGCUGUGAGCUGUAAUGCCACGGCACUCUGCCCAGGGGGAUAGCUUGAGGCCCUGUUUCUAAAAAAAAAAAAAAAAAGAGACAGAGUCUCACUUUGUCACCCUAGGUAGAGUGCCAUGGUGUCGCAGCUCACAACAACCUCCAGCUCUUGGGCUUAGGCUGUUGUCUUGCCU